GAUGAACGCUGGCGGCGUGCCUAAUACAUGCAAGUCGAACGCUGGAAAUCUAGCUUGCUAGAUUGAAGGAGUGGCGAACGGGUGAGUAAUACAUAAGCAACCUACCCACGAAGACUGGGAUAAUCUCUGGAAACGGGGACUAAUACCGGAUAGGUAAUCGGAAGGCAUCUUCUGAUUAUUAAAGGUUAAAAACCCUGGUGGAUGGGCUUAUGGGGCAUUAGGUAGUUGGUGAGGUAACGGCACACCAAGCCGCUGAUGCGUAGCCGGCCUGAGAGGGUGAACGGCCACAUGUGGACCGCGACACGGCCCAGACUCCUACGGGAGGCAGCAGUAGGGAAGUUUCGGCAAUGGGGGAUACCCUGACCGAGCAACGCCGCGUGAGUGAUGACGGCCUUCGGGUUGUAAAGCUCUGUUGUAAGGGAAGAACGGUAGAUAGAGAAUAUCUAAAUGACGGUACCUUACCAGAAAGCCACGGCUAACUACGUG
rnacentral:rRNA from 1 species